GACGAACGCUGGCGGCGUGCUUAACACAUGCAAGUCGAGCGGUAAGGCCCUUUCGGGGUACGACGAGCGGCGAACGGGUGAGUAACACGUGGGUGACCUGCCCUCAGCUCUGGGAGUAAGCCUGGGAAACCGGGUCUAAUACCGGAUAUGACUCCAUGACGCAUGUUGUGGGGUGGAAAGCCUUGUGCGGCUGAGGAUGGGCCCGCGGCCUAUCAGCUUGUUGGUGGGGUGAUGGCCUACCAAGGCGACGACGGGUAGCCGGCCUGAGAGGGCGACCGGCCACACUGGGACUGAGACACGGCCCAGACUCCUACGGGAGGCAGCAGGUGGGGAAUCUUGCGCAAUGGGCGAAAGCCUGACGCAGCGACGCCGCGUGAGGGAUGACGGCCU
rnacentral:rRNA from 1 species